AGUGAACGCUGGCGGUAGGCCUAACACAUGCAAGUCGAACGGCAGCACAGUAAGAGCUUGCUCUUACGGGUGGCGAGUGGCGGACGGGUGAGGAAUACAUCGGAAUCUACUUUUUCGUGGGGGAUAACGUAGGGAAACUUACGCUAAUACCGCAUACGACCUACGGGUGAAAGCAGGGGAUCUUCGGACCUUGCGCGAUUGAAUGAGCCGAUGUCGGAUUAGCUAGUUGGCGGGGUAAAGGCCCACCAAGGCGACGAUCCGUAGCUGGUCUGAGAGGAUGAUCAGCGACACUAGAACUGAGACACGGUCCAGACUCAUACGGGAGGCAGCAGUGGGGAAUAUUGGGCAAUGGGCGAAAGCCUGAUCCAGCCAUACCGCGUGGGUGAAGAAAGCAUUGGGGUUGUAAAGCCCUUUUGUUGGGAAAGAAAAGCAGCAGGUUAAUACGCCGCUGUUCUGACGGUACCCAAAGAAUAAGCACCGGCUAACUUCGUG
rnacentral:rRNA from 1 species